AACAAAGGCGGGUGAAGAUAGCACCUGGACUCCAGCAGUGGCGUCUGGGAGAGGAGGAGGGACGCAGGACUGAGCGAGCAGCAGUGCUGGGGGUGAAGAUCGUUCCACAACGGAGGUGGCGAACUCAGCUCUGACUCUCCGGGGGCCAGAGGAUCCUGAUCACAGCUCACUCCUGACUUUGGCUGACUUUGGACAAGUGUGCCCUCUCUGGGAGCCAGUUUCACUCUUUGGAAGAGACGGCUGCGCCCAAGAGCAUCAGAGAAAAGGUAACUAUGAAGAACUCAAGAUGUACCCUGGUCCUCAGAAAAAGAGAAAGAAACGAAGGCACUCAGGCCACCUGCUGGGAACUGUGGACACAGGAGGAAGCGACCACUUUUCUCUGACAUCUUCUGGUGGCCUCCUGGUGUAUUCUUUGCCUUGUGGGACUUUGGCUGACAGUUCCAUUCACACUUGAGUCUACGGCAAUGGGGGCCCGGGUAUCAACCUAGAAAACAAGCAAUCAGCUUAAGGAAGGUGCAUAGGAGUGAGGCUGUGCCCUUGUGUGACCUUCGAGGGUGAUGUGGAAGCCUGGAGGCUGGUGGAACCCGGAGGCCACAUCUGCACUGCAGCCUGAAGGCCAUCUUGUGUCCUCACCGCCUCACACACAUCCAUGGGAAGCAGUGACCGUUGUCCUGCACGCUUGCCUGAGGAGGAGCCUUUGAGGAGGCUCAGCUGGUUUCUAACUAUGCCCCACAUCUGAACACCACUCUUAGCAAGAGCAGGUCUCUAUCCAUAUUCGCUGAGUGUGUGAACAUGACUCGGCUUUUAUGCAACUCGGUUCCAAUUUGCAGUUUGCAUUUGCUGCACAGUGUAACAAUACACAGACAGCUAAGGCCAGCUCGUGGCGUCAGGGAGGGUGGCAUGACCUGUCAGACCUGUCCCCUGGGUGGGCAGUGUCCACAGCUCCCAUCGUGGUCUUCCACCAACGUGGAUGCUAGCCUUGGAAUAUCCAGUCCUCGACUAAGUCCUUGGCAUGCCGUUUUCCCAAGUGAAGAGGACUUGGAUGGGAGGAAAGAAGGACAGAGGGGAUGAGAGGGACAGAGGUCACCACUGGAUGAACAUCACUGUUGCUGUACAAAAGAUGGUGUCACAGGUCGGGAGGAAGGUCCAGGCCCUGCUCUCCUUGGCACGACUUCUCCCUUCCUCCCUAGGUCAGGCAGAGCUGGGUUCUGCAGAUGCCAUUUUGCCCUCUGGGGUAGGUUAACCUGUGCUUUGAUUUCCUUGCAGGUAAAGUGAGAAUGAUUGAGUGUGAAGGGGAGGGUGGAAGGCAAGCAUGGGCGGAUCGUCAAGUGGAGUCUCGGACUGAUCCUGCAUUGCAGGGACCGGGUGGGGAGGAUGGAAGUUACGAGGCUCUGUAGUCCCACCUCAGUCCUCUGAAAAGAGCCCUCAGUGCCCAGGUUGGACCCCAGCACACAGGAGCUGGGGGAACCCAGAGAACCAGUGGGAAGGGACCUGAGCGGAAUCCAUGGUGCAGACUGGGUGUGCCUUGAAGGGUCAGGUGACAACUGCGUUCAAGUCCCCAGGGAUGGACUCUGGUGUCACACAAGCACUUCUGGAUGUUUGCUGCUACAAUUAAUUUUUUUAAAGAUGUCCUUCCCUGUAUUAGAGUCACUGUUCCCACGGCUUCAUUCCAAGCAGGGGUUAUAAACCCAAAUGUCAAUUCCAGAAACUGCCAGGAGAAAGGUGAGGACGAGGUGGGGUGGGCCAGCCCGGAGCACACCUGUGCCUCGGAAGACCUGGCGUCCAGGUGGGUGUUUACCAAACAGCGGGCUCCAAUGGCAUUGAGCAGGGCCAAAGCAAACACGGCGGCUGGUGACCGUCUGUGGUGUCACAUGACUUCCUCUGCACCCUUCUCGGAACCUCCCCCUUGAGGAGUCUGGUUCCCACAGGAAAGGGCCGGUCUGGCUGCCUGGGAAGCCGGAAGGGGCACAGCGGCUUUUAACCGCUGCUCUGUGCUGGGCACCUGGCUGCGGCAGCUUCUGGUGAAGUCCUUUCUGCGGCAAGGUGUCUGGAGCCAGAUCCUGUGGGGGUCUGGUCAGCACUGCUCAGGGUGUCCUCUAACGGCACGAGAGCCUGUGCCGUGGGCAGCGAGGGGGCGCUGGCCGUGUCCACCUAAAGCGGGUCUGUUGAAGAUGACCAAGUUCUACGCAGGGUGCUGCCCACAUUAGUGAGGGACUCUGUGUGUGUGUGAGGGAGGGGGUGGGGAGAACACACCCUUGCCAUUCCUUUGUCCUCCACUGACCUGGGCCUGUGGAACCGACUGUUCACCCGCCUCUAGGCUUAGUCAUUGAAGGUGGGGGUUUGUGUGCAAGAGGAAAUAAGACGCGGUCCCGGGGAACAGGGUGGACAUUCAAAGAGCUACGAGGCCCGUGGUGGUGGAUAAUGAAACCUUGGCCUGUGAAGAUGCCCAGAGGAGCUGGAGGAGGGAAGGCGGAAGGUCUCGAGGCCAGGGUAGGUCCUGGGUUGUACACUGGCAUGACUCUUGUGUGGCUUGUCCAUUGCCUUCCCUUGAUUGCUUGGCUUUAUCUGACAUUAAUGCCUUUUUAUGACUAGAAUUUAAUGUGUUCAUCAUAGAAAAUCCGAGGGAAUCAAGAUUCCAUUCUCUUACACCCAGAGGAAGUUACAGUCAACACUUGGGACUUUUUCUUUCCAGAUACACAAAUGUUCACUUUCCUAGGACAUUUCUAUGUUUGAAACUUGUGUGGAGCUUUUCCAUCUGACGCUGUGUCUUCCCUCCAUACCAUCAAGGACUGGCUUGCAACAUGUUUUUAAUGGCUGUGUCAUUUCAUCACACAGAUGUACUGUGAUUUACUUACUCAAACUCUCGUUUUCUCCCUGAGAUCUGCCUCCUUGCCCUUAACCCAACUAAAGCCAGACUCUUAAAGCUACCCAGGGCCCCAGAAACCCGCUCAUGUUCUCUGUUGUCCCAAGCAUUUCCAGAAACCGUGGGAAGACCAAAGCGGCAUUCUAGCUCAGCUCCUGAGGUGCCAGCCCAGCUCCAGGAGACCACAGCCAUCGGACACUUGCCGCAGGUGCGUUGGCAGGAAGGUGAGCUUGGAGCAGAAAGAGUUCCAAUGGCCAGACCGCAGCAGCAAACCCUUCUCCUCCAGGCCUCUUCCAGCAAGUGAAAGAAGCCAUGGAACUCGCAGGCUUGCUUGGAAAGUCGA